rnacentral:rRNA from 1 species
CGUGCGGUUCUAUUUUGUUGGUUUCUAGGACCGCCGUAAUGAUUAAUAGGGAUAGUCGGGGGCGUCAGUAUUCAGCUGUCAGAGGUGAAAUUCUUGGAUUUGCUGAAGACUAACUACUGCGAAAGCAUUCGCCAAGGAUGUUUUCAUUAAUCAGGGAACGAAAGUUAGGGGAUCGAAGACGAUCAGAUACCGUCGUAGUCUUAACCAUAAACUAUGCCGACUAGGGAUCGGGCGGCGUUUCUAUGAUGACCCGCUCGGCACCUUACGAGAAAUCAAAGUUUUUGGGUUCUGGGGGGAGUAUGGUCGCAAGGCUGAAACUUAGAGAAAUUGACGGAAGGGCACCACAAGGCGUGGAGCCUGCGGCUUAAUUUGACUCAACACGGGGAAACUCACCAGGUCCAGACAAAAUAAGGAUUGACAGAUUGAG